AUACGUAGGUGACAAGCGUUAUCCGGAUUUACUGGGCGUAAAGGGCGUGUAGGCGGUCUUGCAAGUCAGAAGUGAAAUUCCUGAGCUCAACUCGGGCACUGCUUCUGAAACUGCAGGACUUGAGUGCUGGAGGGGAUAGCGGAAUUCCUAGUGGAGCGGUAAAAUGCGCAGAUAUUAGGAAGAACACCGGUGGCGAAGGCGGCUAUCUGGACUGUAACUGACGCUGAGGCGCGAAAGUGUGGGGAGCAAACAGGAUUAGAUACCCUGGUAGUCCACACUGUAAACGAUGAAUGCUAGGUGUAGGGGGUAUCGACCCCUUCUGUGCCGCAGUCAACACAAUAAGCAUUCCGCCUGGGGAGUACGGCCGCAAGGUUGAAACUCAAAGGAAUUGACGGGG
rnacentral:rRNA from 1 species